UACGGAGGGGGCUAGCGUUGUUCGGAAUUACUGGGCGUAAAGCGCACGUAGGCGGUUUUCCAAGUCAGAGGUGAAAGCCCAGGGCUCAACCCUGGAAUUGCCUUUGAGACUGGGAGACUUGAACACGGGAGAGGUGAGUGGAAUUCCGAGUGUAGAGGUGAAAUUCGUAGAUAUUCGGAAGAACACCAGUGGCGAAGGCGUCUCACUGGACCGUUGUUGACGCUGAGGUGCGAAAGCGUGGGGAGCAAACAGG
rnacentral:rRNA from 1 species